rnacentral:rRNA from 1 species
GAGUUUGAACCUGGCUCAGGAUGAACGCUGGCGGCGUGCCUAACACAUGCAAGUCGAACGAAGCAUCCCUUCCGAUGAAUGGACCAGCUUGCUGGGAAAGGAAUCAAUUGGGAUGACUGAGUGGCGGACGGGUGAGUAACGCGUGGGUAACCUGCCCCAUAGAGGGGGACAACAGCUGGAAACGGCUGCUAAUACCGCAUAGCAGGGAAGAGACGCAUGUCUUUUCCUUCAAAGAUUUAUCGCUAUGGGAUGGACCCGCGUCUGAUUAGCUAGUUGGCAGGGUAACGGCCUACCAAGGCGACGAUCAGUAGCCGGCUUGAGAGAGUGGACGGCCACAUUGGGACUGAGACACGGCCCAGACUCCUACGGGAGGCAGCAGUGGGGAAUAUUGCACAAUGGGGGAAACCCUGAUGCAGCGACGCCGCGUGAGUGAAGAAGUAUUUCGGUAUGUAAAGCUCUAUCAGCAGGGAAGAUAAUGACGGUACCUGACUAAGAAGCCCCGGCUAACU